rnacentral:misc_RNA from 1 species
GAAAUGCGAUAAGUAAUGUGAAUUGCAGAAUUCAGUGAAUCAUCGAAUCUUUGAACACACCUUGCGCUCCUUGGUAUUCCUUGGAGCAUGCCUGUUUGAGUAUCAUGAAAUCUUCAAAGUAAAUCUUUUGUUAACUCAAUUGGUUUCUACUUUGGUAUUGGAGGUCUUUGCAGCUUCACACCUGCUCCUCUUUUUCAUUAGCUGGAUCUCAGUGUUAUGCUUGGUUCCACUCGGCGUGAUAAGUUAUCUAUCGCUGAGGACACUGUAAAAGGUGGCCAAGGUAAAUGCAGAUGAACCGCUUCUAAUAGUCCAUUGACUUGGACAAUACUUUUAUGAUCUGAUCUCAAAUCAGGUAGGACUACCCGCUGAACUUAAGC